rnacentral:rRNA from 1 species
GAUGAACGCUGGCGGCGUGCUUAACACAUGCAAGUCGAACGAAGCACUUUAACCUGAUUCUUCGGAUGAAGGUUUUUGUGACUGAGUGGCGGACGGGUGAGUAACGCGUGGGUAACCUGCCUCAUACAGGGGGAUAACAGUUAGAAAUGACUGCUAAUACCGCAUAAGACCACAGAGCCGCAUGGCUCGGUGGGAAAAACUCCGGUGGUAUGAGAUGGACCCGCGUCUGAUUAGGUAGUUGGUUGGGUAACGGCCUACCAAGCCAACGAUCAGUAGCCGACCUGAGAGGGUGACCGGCCACAUUGGGACUGAGACACGGCCCAAACUCCUACGGGAGGCAGCAGUGGGGAAUAUUGCACAAUGGGGGAAACCCUGAUGCAGCGACGCCGCGUGAGCGAAGAAGUAUUUCGGUAUGUAAAGCUCUAUCAGCAGGGAAGAAAAUGACGGUACCUGACGAAGAAGCACCGGCUAAAUACGUG